ACACAUGCAAGUCGAACGAGAGAGAGGAAGCUUGCUUCCUCAAUCGAGUGGCGAACGGGUGAGUAACGCGUGAGGAACCUGCCUCAAAGAGGGGGACAACAGUUGGAAACGACUGCUAAUACCGCAUAAGCCCACGGGUCGGCAUCGACCAGAGGGAAAAGGAGCAAUCCGCUUUGAGAUGGCCUCGCGUCCGAUUAGCUGGUUGGUGAGGUAAUGGCCCACCAAGGCGACGAUCGGUAGCCGGACUGAGAGGUUGAACGGCCACAUUGGGACUGAGACACGGCCCAGACUCCUACGGGAGGCAGCAGUGGGGAAUAUUGCACAAUGGGGGAAACCCUGAUGCAGCGACGCCGCGUGGAGGAAGAAGGUCUUCGGAUUGUAAACUCCUGUUGUUGAGGAAGAUAAUGACGGUACUCAACAAGGAAGUGACGGCUAACUACGUGCCAGCAGCCGCGGUAAAACGUAGGUCACAAGCGUUGUCCGGAAUUACUGGGUGUAAAGGGAGCGCAGGCGGGAAGACAAGUUGGAAGUGAAAUCUAUGGGCUCAACCCAUAAACUGCUUUCAAAACUGUUUUUCUUGAGUAGUGCAGAGGUAGGCGGAAUUCCCGGUGUAGCGGUGGAAUGCGUAGAUAUCGGGAGGAACACCAGUGGCGAAGGCGGCCUACUGGGCACCAACUGACGCUGAGGCUCGAAAGUGUGGGUAGCAAACAGGAUUAGAUACCCUGGUAGUCCACACCGUAAACGAUGAUUACUAGGUGUUGGAGGAUUGACCCCUUCAGUGCCGCAGUUAACACAAUAAGUAAUCCACCUGGGGAGUACGACCGCAAGGUUGAAACUCAAAGGAAUUGACGGGGG
rnacentral:rRNA from 1 species